rnacentral:rRNA from 1 species
UACGUAGGUGACCAGCGUUGUCCGGAUUUACUGGGCGUAAAGAGCGCGCAGGCGGUCGUUCAAGUCGAGUGUGAAAGCCCCCGGCUUACACUGGGGAGGGUCAUUCGAUACUGUAGCACUUGAAGGCAGGAGAGGGCAAGCGGAAUUCCCGGUGUAGUGGUGAAAUGCGUAGAUAUCGGGAGGAAUACUAGUGGCGAAGGCGGCUGCCUGGCCUGUUCUUGACGCUGAGGCGCGAAAGCUGGGGGGAGCAAACGGG